GACGAACGCUGGCGGCGUGCUUAACACAUGCAAGUCGAACGAGACGAUUGAAAGCUUGCUUUUAAUCGUCGAGUGGCAAACGGGUGAGUAACGCGUAGACAACCUGCCUUUGAGAUGGGGACAACAGUUCGAAAGGACUGCUAAUACCGAAUGUUGUAUAUUUUCCACAUGGAAGAUAUAUUAAAGAUGGCCUCUAUUUAUAAGCUAUCGCUCAAAGAUGGGUCUGCGUCUGAUUAGCUAGUUGGUGGGGUAACGGCCUACCAAGGCGACGAUAAGUAGCCGGUCUGAGAGGAUGAACGGCCACAUUGGGACUGAGACACGGCCCAGACUCCUACGGGAGGCAGCAGUGGGGAAUCUUCCACAAUGGACGAAAGUCUGAUGGAGCAACGCCGCGUGAGUGAAGAAGGGUUUCGGCUCGUAAAGCACUUUAAGUUGGGAGGAAGGGCUCAUAGCGAAUACCUGUGAGUUUUGACGUUACCAACAGAAUAAGCACCGGCUAACUUCGUGCCAGCAGCCGCCGUAA
rnacentral:rRNA from 1 species